GACGAACGCUGGCGGCGUGCUUAACACAUGCAAGUCGAACGGAAAGGCCCUGCUUUUGUGGGGUGCUCGAGUGGCGAACGGGUGAGUAACACGUGAGUAACCUGCCCUUGACUUUGGGAUAACUUCAGGAAACUGGGGCUAAUACCGGAUAGGAGCUCCUGCUGCAUGGUGGGGGUUGGAAAGUUUCGGCGGUUGGGGAUGGACUCGCGGCUUAUCAGCUUGUUGGUGGGGUAGUGGCUUACCAAGGCUUUGACGGGUAGCCGGCCUGAGAGGGUGACCGGCCACAUUGGGACUGAGAUACGGCCCAGACUCCUACGGGAGGCAGCAGUGGGGAAUAUUGCACAAUGGGCGGAAGCUUGAUGCAGCAACGCCGCGUGCGGGAUGACGGCCUUCGGGUUGUAAACCGCUUUCGCCUGUGACGAAGCGUGAGUGACGGUAAUGGGUAAAGAAGCACCGGCUAACUACGUGCCAGCAGCCGCGGUGAUACGUAGGGUGCGAGCGUUGUCCGGAUUUAUUGGGCGUAAAGGGCUCGUAGGUGGUUGAUCGCGUCGGAAGUGUAAUCUUGGGGCUUAACCCUGAGCGUGCUUUCGAUACGGGUUGACUUGAGGAAGGUAGGGGAGAAUGGAAUUCCUGGUGGAGCGGUGGAAUGCGCAGAUAUCAGGAGGAACACCAGUGGCGAAGGCGGUUCUCUGGGCCUUUCCUGACGCUGAGGAGCGAAAGCGUGGGGAGCGAACAGGCUUAGAUACCCUGGUAGUCCACGCUGUAAACGGUGGGUGCUAGGUGUGGGGUCCAUUCCACGGGUUCCGUGCCGUAGCUAACGCUUUAAGUACCCCGCCUGGGGAGUACGGCCGCAAGGCUAAAACUCAAAGGAAUUGACGGGGCCCCGCACAAGCGGCGGAGCAUGCGGAUUAAUUCGAUGCAACGCGUAGAACCUUACCUGGGUUUGACAUGGAUCGGGAGUGCUCAGAGAUGGGUGUGCCUCUUUUGGGGUCGGUUCACAGGUGGUGCAUGGCUGUCGUCAGCUCGUGUCGUGAGAUGUUGGGUUAAGUCCCGCAACGAGCGCAACCCUUGUUCACUGUUGCCAGCACGUUAUGGUGGGGACUCAGUGGAGACCGCCGGGGUCAACUCGGAGGAAGGUGGGGAUGACGUCAAGUCAUCAUGCCCCUUAUGUCCAGGGCUUCACGCAUGCUACAAUGGCUGGUACAGAGAGUGGCGAGCCUGUGAGGGUGAGCGAAUCUCGGAAAGCCGGUCUCAGUUCGGAUUGGGGUCUGCAACUCGACCUCAUGAAGUCGGAGUCGCUAGUAAUCGCAGAUCAGCAACGCUGCGGUGAAUACGUUCCCGGGGCU
rnacentral:rRNA from 1 species